rnacentral:lncRNA from 1 species
UAGCUGGAGGCUGGGGCCAGGGGACCGGGCUCCAGUCCUGGCUUGGGCUCUCACUCCUCGGGCAUAUCGGGCAAAUCACCACCUCCAUCCUCCCCCUUCCAGCCUCAGUUUCCCCAACUGUGAAAUGGAGGAGUUGGACCAGGAGCUUUCUAUGGACACUUCAGCGCAUACUACUUUUUCUGGCUCUGGGUUCGGGCCGGGAGGGUUCAGGGCUGGUAAUUUCUCAUCCUCUUCCUGGAUCGCGGCAUCUUCUCAUCAAAUGAUGCCCAUCAUGGGACCCAGAACCUGGAAAUGUGAAAGGUGGAAGAGCCAGCAAAGUCUCGGAACCCAACUUCUCGAAUAUGCAGAGCAGGCAGGGGCAGCCCAGAGAAGGUGAGGGACCUGUCCAGGACCACACAGCCAGUCAGAGGCCGAGAAACCAGGUCUUAGCCUCUCAGGGCUCCGCCCAGCACCUCCAGCCUGGGAGCCAAAACCGGGUGUGAGAGCGGGGGGAGGGGCAGGCUGCUGUGGGAGGAAAACAAACACCCCCGCUCUGUGUCUGCAAGCUCCAGCUGCCAAGAUGGCAGGAAGGCUGCCUGAGAGCGCAGACCUGAGGCGGGAGCUUCCUGUCUGUCACAGAGACCCUCCUGGUUGUCCUGCCAGCACCAUACCUCAUGGUCUCCAUCGUGACUGCGGCACAGCUCUGUGGCUGCCCUGCAAGGAGGACGGCAGCGAUGGCGGGCUUCCCGCCCUGCCCCAGUCCUGUGAGCUGGUGAGAGGAGUGUGGCCUGAGAGAGGGACACCGAAGGGCAUGGCUGCUGAGCUUCACCACAGGACACCUGACAAGGGCUUUGGGGACAUUUCAUGCUCGGGCCCCGUGCCUCCGCUGCCCUGAACUCUUGGGACGCUCUACCACACACCACAGUCUCUCUCGUGUUGGGGAUUUACGGCGAGUGAGGGAAGAGGGGUGUGUUGGGGUGGACAGGAACACACCCCUCUGAGGCCUGAGGAGGCAGGCAGUGUGGACCGCCUGGAGGUGGAGAAGGGUCCAAUUGAGCUUCCUGAGGUGGACAGCCUCCAAGAUGGCCCCAUGACGCAUACCUCCUCGGGCAGUUCUCUCCAACGCUGACUCAGGGCUGGCCUUGUGGAGCAAAAGAACAAAAUGGAGGUGAUGAUGGCGCUCUCAAGCCUGAUCACAGAAGGCACUGCAGCUUCGGCUGGCAUUCUUUUCUUUCUUUUAUCAUUUUUUCC